rnacentral:rRNA from 1 species
UACGUAGGGGGCAAGCGUUGUCCGGAAUCCUUGGGCGUAAAGAGCGUGUAGGCGGCCCGGUAAGUCCGCUGUGAAAGUCCAGGGCUCAACCCUGGAAUGCCGGUGGAAACUGUCGGGCUAGAGUCCGGAAGAGGCGAGUGGAAUUCCUGGUGUAGCGGUGAAAUGCGCAGAUAUCAGGAGGAACACCAAUGGCGAAGGCAGCUCGCUGGGACGGUACUGACGCUGAGACGCGAAAGCGUGGGGAGCAAACAGG